GAUGAACGCUGGCGGCGUGCCUAACACAUGCAAGUCGAGCGAAGCACUUUACUUGGAUUUCUUCGGAAUGACGAGUGAUUUGACUGAGCGGCGACGGGUGAGUAACGCGUGGGUAACCUGCCUCACACAGGGGGAUAACAGUUAGAAAUGACUGCUAAUACCGCAUAAGACCACAGCGCCGCAUGGUGCAGGGGUAAAAACUCCGGUAGUGUGAGAUGGACCCGCGUCUGAUUAGGUAGUUGGUGAGGUAACGGCUCACCAAGCCGACGAUCAGUAGCCGGCCUGAGAGGGUGGACGGCCACAUUGGGACUGAGACACGGCCCAA
rnacentral:rRNA from 1 species